GGGUCAUUAGCUCAGUUGGUAGAGCAGUGGAUUCUUAAUCCAUUGGCCGAAGGUUCGAGUCCUUCAUGACCCA
rnacentral:tRNA from 1 species